UUAUGUUGAGACGUCCAGGAAGACGAGAUUAGAAAACAGCUGUGUCGAAGAAAAGGGAAACAAGCCGAACCAGUGCGACUCAACACAGGUUGAUCGAAACCACAACCUAAAACAGCUCAGCCCAAUGGUGUGACUGCUGAUAAAAGCUUGCGCCUACGUGGUGAGGAAGAUCCGGGCUUCUGCCUCUGACGAAGAGCGAGAGGAGAAACCCAUCCGUACACCAUGUAGUGCAAAAGCUCAAAAAAAAUCGGAGCGAAAGUCGAUGGAAUCUUCCUCGAUGGCAGCCCUGAACCCGGGCCGCGAUGAAGGUUUCCACGGAGCAGCAGCAGCAGCAGCAGGGACGUCCUCUGGGGCCGCAGUGGAGAACUGUGGCUCCUGACGUUAAAGAACUGGGUGGACGCUGGGACUGUGGCCGACUCAUUCUGAAAACAUCCUUUAUGUAUUAUUAUUACAGAUAACAACAUAGACAAAACGAUAUCGGUUUUGACAAAAUCUUCAAACCAAGUACUAAACUUCCUUAAUUUGAAUACUUUCCAGUGGUCGACACAGUUUCCAGUGUCUAGCUCAGUUCCAUAAGAUGGCCUUUUUUCACAGCAAACAUUUUGAAAUCAAGUGCAACAUUCAUGUACUGCAGCGUUUGAAGGCUGGCUCACCAACCUCUGCACCAGAGGCUGAGCAGACCUGAUGUUUCUGCUGUUACAUCAAUAACUAUAAUGAUGUUAAAAGCACUGUUUGGGAAAAUCUUACCAGUAUAAUAUAUUCAUGUCAGGUAAAGCAAUAUGCACAUCAUUGAAUACAUUAAAAAACUGUAAUUGAACUGAUUUUAAAUUAUACAUUUGCAGAUGUGUUUAUUUAAAAAAAAUUGGUUACAAGAUUAUAUUUGGAACUUUAUUGUCAUGCGUUGUAUUAUGCAGUUAAAUUUUUUACAGCUGAUCUUCCAAAUAAAAUAUAAUAUAAUAAUAUAA